AUUGAACGCUGGCGGCAUGCCUAACACAUGCAAGUCGAACGGUUUUGAGACUGCGGUUUCAAGAUAGUGGCGGACGGGUGAGUAACGCGUAGGAAUCUGCCUUGUAGAGGGGGACAACCCGGGGAAACUCGGGCUAAUACCGCAUAAUAAUAGCGAGAUGAAAGGGUGGGACCUUUGGGCCACUCGCUAUAAGAUGAGCCUGCGUUGGAUUAGCUAGUUGGUGGGGUAAAUGCCUACCAAGGCGACGAUCCAUAACUGGUCUGUGAGGAUGACCAGUGACACGGGGAGUGAGACACGGCACAUACUCCUACGGGUGGCAGCAGUAUGGAAUAUUGGACAAUUGGGGCAGCCCUGAUCGAUCAAUGCCUCGUGUGUGAAGAAGUCCUGCGGGUUGUAAAGCACUUUAAGCGAUGAGGAAGGAUGCUGUGUUAAUAGCAGCGUGUUUUGACGUUAGUCGCAGAAAAAGCACCGGCUAACUCUGUGCCAUCCGCCGCCGUAA
rnacentral:rRNA from 1 species